GUGGGAACGUACCCUUCACUACGGAAUAGCUUCUGGAAACGGAAGGUAAUACCGUAUACGCCCUCCGGGGGAAAGAUUUAUCGGUGAAGGAUCGGCCCGCGUUAGAUUAGUUUGUUGGUGGGGUAAUGGCCUACCAAGACUACGAUCUAUAGCUGGUCUGAGAGGAUGAUCAGCCACACUGGGACUGAGACACGGCCCAGACUCCUACGGGAGGCAGCAGUGGGGAAUCUUGCACAAUGGGCGAAAGCCUGAUGCAGCCAUGCCGCGUGAAUGAUGAAGGCCUUAGGGUUGUAAAAUUCUUUCGCCAGGGAUGAUAAUGACAGUACCUGGUAAAGAAGCCCCGGCUAACUUCGUGCCAGCAGCCGCGGUAAUACGAAGGGGGCUAGCGUUGUUCGGAAUUACUGGGCGUAAAGCGCGCGUAGGCGGGCUAUUAAGCCAGAUGUGAAAGCCCGGAGCUCAACUCCGGAAUUGCAUUUGGAACUGGUAGCCUAGAGACCAGGAGAGGUUAGCGGAAUACCGAGUGUAGAGGUGAAAUUCGUAGAUAUUCGGUGGAACACCAGUGGCGAAGGCGGCUAACUGGACUGGUACUGACGCUGAGGCGCGAAAGUGUGGGGAGCAAACAGGAUUAGAUACCCUGGUAGUCCACACCGUAAACGAU
rnacentral:rRNA from 2 species